rnacentral:other from 1 species
UUUAGCCUGCCAUGUGCGUGAUGUUGCAUCACCGGUUUUGAGCCAACACCCACAAAACGGGUUCUAAACUCACUCAAGUUACGCGAUAGGCUCCGGCCAAGGCGAUUCUUUAGUGGCAGAACCCUACCUGCUUUUGCAGGUUCAAAACUACGCAACACACGGCAUGGCGGGUACUUU